CUAAUACCGCAUAGCCGCACAGCUUCGCAUGAAGCAGUGUGAAAAACUCCGGUGGUACAAGAUGGACCCGCGUCUGAUUAGCUGGUUGGUGAGGUAACGGCCCACCAAGCCGACGAUCAGUAGCCGGCCUGAGAGGGUGAACGGCCACAUUGGGACUGAGACACGGCCCAAACUCCUACGGGAGGCAGCAGUGGGGAAUAUUGCACAAUGGGGGAAACCCUGAUGCAGCAACGCCGCGUGAGUGAAGAAGUAUUUCGGUAUGUAAAGCUCUAUCAGCAGGAAAGAAAAUGACGGUACCUGACUAAGAAGCCCCGGCUAACUACGUGCCAGCAGCCGCGGUAAUACGUAGGGGGCAAGCGUUAUCCGGAUUUACUGGGUGUAAAGGGAGCGUAGACGGUUUUGCAAGUCUGAAGUGAAAGCCCGGGGCUUAACCCCGGGACUGCUUUGGAAACUGUAGGACUAGAGUGCAGGAGAGGUAAGUGGAAUUCCUAGUGUAGCGGUGAAAUGCGUAGAUAUUAGGAGGAACACCAGUGGCGAAGGCGGCUUACUGGACUGUAACUGACGUUGAGGCUCGAAAGCGUGGGGAGCAAACAGGAUUAGAUACCCUGGUAGUCCACGCCGUAAACGAUGAAAGGGAGGUGUUGGUGGGUAUGACCCAUCGGUGCCGC
rnacentral:rRNA from 1 species